AUUGAACGCUGGCGGCAGGCCUAACACAUGCAAGUCGAGCGGAUGAAGGGAGCUUGCUCCUGGAUUCAGCGGCGGACGGGUGAGUAAUGCCUAGGAAUCUGCCUGGUAGUGGGGGAUAACGUCCGGAAACGGGCGCUAAUACCGCAUACGUCCUGAGGGAGAAAGUGGGGGAUCUUCGGACCUCACGCUAUCAGAUGAGCCUAGGUCGGAUUAGCUAGUUGGUGGGGUAAAUGCCUACCAAGCCGACGAUCCGUAACUGGUCUGAGAGGAUGAUCAGUCACACGGGAACUGAGACACGGUCCAGACUCCUACGGGAGGCAGCAGUGGGGAAUAUUGGACAAUGGGCGAAAGCCUGAUCCAGCCAUGCCGAGUGUGUGAAGAAGGUCUUCGGAUUGUAAAGCACUUUAAGUUGGGAGGAAGGGCAGUAAGUUAAUACCUUGCUGUUUUGACGUUACCAACAGAAUAAGCACCGGCUAACUUCGUG
rnacentral:rRNA from 1 species